CGGGGUGAGUAACGCGUGGAAAACCUGCCGUAUACUGGGGGAUAACACUUAGAAAUAGGUGCUAAUACCGCAUAAGCGCACAGCUUCGCAUGAAGCAGUGUGAAAAACUCCGGUGGUAUACGAUGGUUCCGCGUCUGAUUAGCUAGUUGGUGAGGUAAAAGCCCACCAAGGCGACGAUCAGUAGCCGGCCUGAGAGGGUGAACGGCCACAUUGGGACUGAGACACGGCCCAGACUCCUACGGAAGGCAGCAG
rnacentral:rRNA from 1 species